AGGAGGAACAAAGGAGCUCUUAUCUUCAUCAGCUCUCAUUAAGGAACUUCUUAUUAGUUCUAGUGAAGCAAUGGGAGGUCUAGGGAGCUCUCUCUGCAAUACUUUUGACCUUUUCCGGAGUAAAGCUUGUUGCCUUGCUUCUUCUUCGGCCUUCUCCCUUGCAAUCCUAUCAGACAUGUCUUCUUCAAUCUUCUCUUCUGGUGGUUCUUCAAUUUCUUCCUGAGGUUGUUGGACGACUAUCUGGUACUCAUUUUUGGGCUGAGGAAGGCUUUUCAAACCAGAAAGCAAUUCUUUCUUUGAAUUGAAUUGCCCAAGUUUAGCAUUAUUGUGCAUAUCCAUUUCUUCAUUAAUGCGUAGCUCAUCCCUCAUAGGAGUUCCUUUCGGGGUCAUGCCAUAAGAAUCCCUUGAAGGUGUCAUGCCAAUUCUAGGAGUAAGGCCAGUGGCUCCAGGAGUCGCUGAAGGAGUUAAGAGUGGGUUUGGUGUUUGAACUUCCCUUUUCUUAGGAGUGACACCAGAAAAAUCUGAGGGGUGCAACAUAGGAUUAUCCCCUCCAAGUAAUGGUGUCUGAGACUGAGUCAAUCUUCGUUGAUUUUCUGCUUCCAUCAUAAUGGCAUCUUGCUUAGUUGAAGGGGUUCUUUGAGGUGUUCGCAUAGGAGUCAUUGCAUGCUGUGGUGUCUGGGCAUAAUUUGCAAGAAGAGCACGUGUUGCAGCAUUCCCUUCGGAGAGUUCAUCACCUCCUAGUAGAUCACUGGCAAUACCUAUCUUUGCUAUGGCCUCCAAUUCAUGAUCUGGAAUCUGUGGUGCAGGAAGAUUGAGUUUCGACCUCUUCCUCACUGCUUCUGGAUCAUUAAGUUUAUUUGCAUGCAAUAUGGCUGUAGGGGCAUCCUGCCUUUCUGCAAUUUUAUUCCUUGCAAUAUCCUGCUUUCUUAGACGAGCUUCCUUAUCGACUCUCCUUUCACCUUCUAGUUCUUCAAUGGUAGUUGGAAACUUAGGUUGCUCUACUGGACGGUCUUCCUCAGCAACAUCAUAGAAACCUGGAGGAGGCUUCUUUUCAAAGGGUAUUUCAGCAUUGUAAUCAAUUCCUCUCCUUUUUCUCUUCCUUUGACGGGCAUCUAUUCCAGCAGCCUUCAGUUCUCUCCUUUUCUGUAAGGAAGCAAGCCUUCGAGCCUCUUCAAGCUGCUUUUCUCUGGCUUUCCUUUUAGCCUUCUUACCUCUUGUGUUGGCCAACCGAGCCCGUGCUUCAGACAACAUUUCUUUCUCAUCCUCGUCCAUAUCAACAGGAUCAGGACGAGCAGGCUUUGAUUCUGGAUUAGGAUCAAUCUCUCCAGGCUUCAAUUUUCUUGGAUCAUCAUUAGGGUCAUAGUUUUCAUCCUUAGCACAUGCUGCAUCGAGAAGCUUUUCAUAGCGUUCAAGGCACUGGGAUGGUGUACGACCAACAAUUGGCGCAAUAGUCCUCCACUGGGUAGGCAUGAGCUUUGCAAGGUGAAGUAGUUUCUCAUCUUCUUCUCUAGUCCACUCAGUCU
rnacentral:lncRNA from 1 species